rnacentral:ncRNA from 1 species
AGCGCUGCCGGCGCUAUAUAAAGGGAAGCGAUUAUCAUAGUUUCGCCUACAGUUUUGAAUAGCUGACGCAUAGAAUAUUCAUGGUUUACUGGUACAUACCUAUUUUAAAGUACAGUAUUCCAUAAAUGGUAGAAGAUGUUACGAAGCCAGUACCGCCGGCGAUUGAAAGCGCGGACGAAUGAGUAACAAAGGGUAAGGUUAAAUCGUUAGACUUAGAUUCUAAUGACGGCGCAAGUCGUGGGAUUACAUAGGCGUAUUAGUGAUAAUACGAUUAGUAGGGCAAAUUGGAUUUAGACGCUAAAUAAUAUGUACGAUAGUAGAAUAUCGGCUAUAAAUA